UGUUUCAUUCAUCACUAAUUUUUUUUUAGAUUUUCCUACUAGCGAUCAUUUGAAUGAGCUAAAGAGAUAAACACAAUAUAUUAAUUAGAGAUAUUUAACAUUCAUUCAAAUUUUAUAAAUGACUUCUUGCAACUCUAAAGUGCUAAAUAUGAUUUAAUUAAAGUUAGCAAAUCAAUAAUUUUUUUUUUUGUUUAGUAUAAAGCAAUAAGAGAAAUCUCAUUUCUUACUUGUAAAACUGAAAACAUAUGGCUCAAAUUUCUAUGUUCCUUAAUGCUUUGAUCAUCUUUCUGUAUCUAUUUCUUGUUCUAACUAAUGGUCCUAUUCGCAUUCCCUGCACUUCUGAUUCGGAUUGUCCAGAUAUGUUUUUCCCUCUUUUUACAAAAUGUCUUAAUUAUAUUUGUGCGUGUGAUUUGUAACCUUUUUAAUUAAUUUUAUUUGUAUAUCAUGAGGAUUUUACUUUUAUGUUCUUGUGGUGUCACUUUGUUGGUAAGAGUUUGAUUUAGUAAUAUCAAAGAACAAAGUUCAUAAAUAUUUGCUGGAAGGAAAAAAUGUGAUAGCUCGUUCGAUUGAACAUAACAUAUCCCCAACAAACAAAUUACUAGAGUAACAUUUGAUUUGUGUUUUCUUGUCCCUUCAUUUUGUGACAAAUUUUGAAGUGUAUCGUUAUAUUAUCCUAGUAUUAUUGUCCAAUUUAAUAAAUAAAGGUAAUGUAUAGUUAUGUAGAUUGACUAUUUAAUUUACUUCCACAUUUGAUAAAUAUUUAAAAAAUAUUUUGAAAAGAGGUAAAUGUUAGCUUUUGUCAUUAAUUAUUAUAAUUAACUAGUAAGACACCCGUGCGGACUAGUAAGACACCCGUGCUGCCGCACGGGUAAUAUUUUUACGUUUUGUCAAAAUCAAAAAAAUGAUCAAAUGAUAUAAGGCGUACAUCAAAACAAAUAAGAUUUAUGAACUAAAGACAUUGUUCCAAUAAGAUGAGUUUUGAUAAAUUCAUAACAUAUGAAUGAUUGUUAAUGUGACAACAAUUUUUUUGCAUGUAAUAGUCGAGAGACAGCUGCAAAAGGAAUCUCCAAAACAUGUAGCCACGAAUAAUAAAAAGGAAAACAAAGCUGCAACAUGAUUCUCCAAAAUGAAUCGGAUGUUUGGACCUGAAAUAGCAAGGAAAAAAAAUCAUAUAUAGUGGCAGUAAAGAACAUCAAUUUAUCCUAAAUUUUUAAAUGGCAUGAUAAGUUUAUAUUUUUAAAAGUACACCUUUCAAAUGUUAUGGAACACUUCUUUGAA